UGCAAGUCGAGCGGACAGAAGGGAGCUUGCUCCCGGAUGUUAGCGGCGGACGGGUGAGUAACACGUGGGUAACCUGCCUGUAAGACUGGGAUAACUCCGGGAAACCGGAGCUAAUACCGGAUAGUUCCUUGAACCGCAUGGUUCAAGGAUGAAAGACGGUUUCGGCUGUCACUUGCAGAUGGACCCGCGGCGCAUUAGCUAGUUGGUGGGGUAAUGGCUCACCAAGGCGACGAUGCGUAGCCGACCUGAGAGGGUGAUCGGCCACACUGGGACUGAGACACGGCCCAGACUCCUACGGGAGGCAGCAGUAGGGAAUCUUCCGCAAUGGACGAAAGUCUGACGGAGCAACGCCGCGUGAGUGAUGAAGGUUUUCGGAUCGUAAAGCUCUGUUGUUAGGGAAGAACAAGUGCGAGAGUAACUGCUCGCACCUUGACGGUACCUAACCAGAAAGCCACGGCUAACUACGUGCCAGCAGCCGCGGUAAUACGUAGGUGGCAAGCGUUGUCCGGAAUUAUUGGGCGUAAAGGGCUCGCAGGCGGUUUCUUAAGUCUGAUGUGAAAGCCCCCGGCUCAACCGGGGAGGGUCAUUGGAAACUGGGAAACUUGAGUGCAGAAGAGGAGAGUGGAAUUCCACGUGUAGCGGUGAAAUGCGUAGAGAUGUGGAGGAACACCAGUGGCGAAGGCGACUCUCUGGUCUGUAACUGACGCUGAGGAGCGAAAGCGUGGGGAGCGAACAGGAUUAGAUACCCUGGUAGUCCACGCCGUAAACGAUGAGUGCUAAGUGUUAGGGGGUUUCCGCCCCUUAGUGCUGCAGCUAACGCAUUAAGCACUCCGCCUGGGGAGUACGGUCGCAAGACUGAAACUCAAAGGAAUUGACGGGGGCCCGCACAAGCGGUGGAGCAUGUGGUUUAAUUCGAAGCAACGCGAAGAACCUUACCAGGUCUUGACAUCCUCUGACAACCCUAGAGAUAGGGCUUUCCCUUCGGGGACAAAAUGACAGGUGGUGCAUGGUUGUCGUCAGCUCCUGUCCUGAAAUGUU
rnacentral:rRNA from 1 species